CAAACAUGGAGAAUGGAGGUGGAAAACUGGAUUGGGGAAGAAAACAAUGGAGUUUGAAGGGGAAACGGCCCCAAGCCCCUUGAAAGGCAAAGAUGAUGAUGAUCAAAUGGUCUUUGCUUUACAUCUGAAGGAAAACCUGAGAAUCCUAAAGAUGGGGUGUUCUGAGACAGACAGAAGACAGAACCAGCAUGUAACUCCUCCUUCAUUCAAGGCGAUGAAGCAGGCCACUUUCUCAACUCCCUUGGGGAGGAAAAAGGAGUGCAGGGUCAAACUAAUCUUCCUGAGAAUUGUACUUGAAACGCAUUAUCCCAUGUGCAUCUCUGACACUGCAGGGAGAUGGCACUGUUACUGGCAGUGUUAGAUAUGUAUGUUCCCUGUGGUGAGAGACUUGCAGGCAUCACUCUGCUAGAAAAUUGAACAACCAACAUCUAAGUCCACUCCAUUUGGUCUUAAAGUGAAUGCUCUUUGCAUUAAUAUUUUACAUAUAAGAUGUAAAUGUUGUGUAACAAGGACCAAGGCCUCAGCUCUAUCAGUGUAUUUUAUCUGUCUUAGACACACUCCUAGUUGCACCGUUCUUCCUAGUUUACUUGGCACACAUGAAGAAGAGUCUGUCUCCAAUCUGGUGGAAAGCCCUUUUCCCCACCAUCGUGCCAUUGAUUGCCAUGACUGAGGUUACUCUUAGUCUUGGGCAGAUUUACUUUGAAAAUGUAGUUAUCUGUGAACUGAUGCCAACAGACCAGUGGCAUUUUUUGAAAUCUAAGACUGAGGAAGC
rnacentral:lncRNA from 1 species